AAAUUGAAGAGUUUGAUCAUGGCUCAGAUUGAACGCUGGCGGCAGGCCUAACACAUGCAAGUCGAACGGUAACAGGAAACAGCUUGCUGCUUUGCUGACGAGUGGCGGACGGGUGAGUAAUGUCUGGGAAACUGCCUGAUGGAGGGGGAUAACUACUGGAAACGGUAGCUAAUACCGCAUAACGUCGCAAGACCAAAGAGGGGGACCUUCGGGCCUCUUGCCAUCGGAUGUGCCCAGAUGGGAUUAGCUAGUAGGUGGGGUAAAGGCUCACCUAGGCGACGAUCCCUAGCUGGUCUGAGAGGAUGACCAGCCACACUGGAACUGAGACACGGUCCAGACUCCUACGGGAGGCAGCAGUGGGGAAUAUUGCACAAUGGGCGCAAGCCUGAUGCAGCCAUGCCGCGUGUAUGAAGAAGGCCUUCGGGUUGUAAAGUACUUUCAGCGGGGAGGAAGGGAGUAAAGUUAAUACCUUUGCUCAUUGACGUUACCCGCAGAAGAAGCACCGGCUAACUCCGUGCCAGCAGCCGCGGUAAUACGGAGGGUGCAAGCGUUAAUCGGAAUUACUGGGCGUAAAGCGCACGCAGGCGGUUUGUUAAGUCAGAUGUGAAAUCCCCGGGCUCAACCUGGGAACUGCAUCUGAUACUGGCAAGCUUGAGUCUCGUAGAGGGGGGUAGAAUUCCAGGUGUAGCGGUGAAAUGCGUAGAGAUCUGGAGGAAUACCGGUGGCGAAGGCGGCCCCCUGGACGAAGACUGACGCUCAGGUGCGAAAGCGUGGGGAGCAAACAGGAUUAGAUACCCUGGUAGUCCACGCCGUAAACGAUGUCGACUUGGAGGUUGUGCCCUUGAGGCGUGGCUUCCGGAGCUAACGCGUUAAGUCGACCGCCUGGGGAGUACGGCCGCAAGGUUAAAACUCAAAUGAAUUGACGGGGGCCCGCACAAGCGGUGGAGCAUGUGGUUUAAUUCGAUGCAACGCGAAGAACCUUACCUGGUCUUGACAUCCACGGAAGUUUUCAGAGAUGAGAAUGUGCCUUCGGGAACCGUGAGACAGGUGCUGCAUGGCUGUCGUCAGCUCGUGUUGUGAAAUGUUGGGUUAAGUCCCGCAACGAGCGCAACCCUUAUCCUUUGUUGCCAGCGGUCCGGCCGGGAACUCAAAGGAGACUGCCAGUGAUAAACUGGAGGAAGGUGGGGAUGACGUCAAGUCAUCAUGGCCCUUACGACCAGGGCUACACACGUGCUACAAUGGCGCAUACAAAGAGAAGCGACCUCGCGAGAGCAAGCGGACCUCAUAAAGUGCGUCGUAGUCCGGAUUGGAGUCUGCAACUCGACUCCAUGAAGUCGGAAUCGCUAGUAAUCGUGGAUCAGAAUGCCACGGUGAAUACGUUCCCGGGCCUUGUACACACCGCCCGUCACACCAUGGGAGUGGGUUGCAAAAGAAGUAGGUAGCUUAACCUUCGGGAGGGCGCUUACCACUUUGUGAUUCAUGACUGGGGUGAAGUCGUAACAAGGUAACCGUAGGGGAACCUGCGGUUGGAUCACCUCCUUA
rnacentral:rRNA from 1 species